UACGUAGGGUGCAAGCGUUGUCCGGAAUUAUUGGGCGUAAAGAGCCCGUAGGCGGCUUGUCGCGUCGGCUGUGAAAACCUGGGGCUCAACCCCGGGCCUGCAGCCGAUACGGGCAAGCUAGAAUUCGGUAGGGGAGACUGGAAUUCCUGGUGUAGCGGUGAAAUGCGCAGAUAUCAGGAGGAACACCGGUGGCGAAGGCGGGUCUCUGGGCCGAUAUUGACGCUGAGGAGCGAAAGCGUGGGGAGCGAACAGG
rnacentral:rRNA from 1 species